rnacentral:rRNA from 1 species
CGCCCUUAGAGUUUGAUCCUGGCUCAGGAUGAACGCUAGCUACAGGCUUAACACAUGCAAGUCGAGGGGCAGCGGGAUUGAAGCUUGCUUCAAUUGCCGGCGACCGGCGCACGGGUGAGUAACGCGUAUCCAACCUUCCGUACACUCAGGGAUAGCCUUUCGAAAGAAAGAUUAAUACCUGAUGGUAUGAUGAGAUUGCAUGAUAGCAUCAUUAAAGAUUUAUCGGUGUACGAUGGGGAUGCGUUCCAUUAGGUAGUAGGCGGGGUAACGGCCCACCUAGCCAACGAUGGAUAGGGGUUCUGAGAGGAAGGUCCCCCACAUUGGAACUGAGACACGGUCCAAACUCCUACGGGAGGCAGCAGUGAGGAAUAUUGGUCAAUGGACGAGAGUCUGAACCAGCCAAGUAGCGUGAAGGAUGAAGGUCCUACGGAUUGUAAACUUCUUUUAUAAGGGAAUAAACCCUCCCACGUGUGGGAGCUUGUAUGUACCUUAUGAAUAAGCAUCGGCUAACUCCGUGCCAGCAGCCGCGGUAAUACGGAGGAUGCGAGCGUUAUCCGGAUUUAUUGGGUUUAAAGGGAGCGCAGACGGGUCGUUAAGUCAGCUGUGAAAGUUUGGGGCUCAACCUUAAAAUUGCAGUUGAUACUGGCGUCCUUGAGUGCGGUUGAGGUGUGCGGAAUUCGUGGUGUAGCGGUGAAAUGCUUAGAUAUCACGAAGAACUCCGAUUGCGAAGGCAGCACACUAAUCCGUAACUGACGUUCAUGCUCGAAAGUGUGGGUAUCAAACAGGAUUAGAUACCCUGGUAGUCCACACGGUAAACGAUGGAUGCCCGCUGUUGGUCUGAAUAGGUCAGCGGCCAAGCGAAAGCAUUAAGUAUUCCACCUGGGGAGUACGCCGGCAACGGUGAAACUCAAAGGAAUUGACGGAAGGGCG